rnacentral:rRNA from 1 species
GACGGGCCCCGCACAAGCAGCGGAGCGUGUGGUUUAAUUCGAUGCUACACGAAGAACCUUACCAGGGUUUUGACAUACAAGUAGUAGGGAAAGGAAACUGGACCGACCCUUCGGGGAGCUUGAACAGGUGCUGCAUGGCUGUCGUCAGCUCGUGUCGUGAGAUGUUCGGUUAAGUCCGCUAACGAGCGCAACCCUCGCUGUGUGUUACAAGUGUCACACGGAACUGCCGGUCAUAAACCGGAGGAAGUGGGGAUGACGUCAAGUCAGCAUGGCCUUUAUAUCCUGGGCUACACACACGCUACAAUGGGAAGGGACAAUAGGUUGCGAAACCGCGAGGUGGAGCCAAUCCAGCAAAACUUCCCUCAGUUCAGAUUGCAGGCUGCAACUCGCCUGCAUGAAGUUGGAGUUGCUAGUAAACGCAGGUCAGCCAUACUGCGUUGAAUACGUUCCCGGGGCUU